ensembl:lncRNA
CUCCAGGUACAGGGACACAGACAGUGGUGCCAGUGGCUGUGCCCUGUGAUGGGUGGAAAUCAAACUCUGUAACCACAGAGUAGUUAUAAAGCAGGUAUGUUUAAUCAGCGCUGCGCACACACCAGAUCUCCCCCAGUGCCCCCCACCUACCCUGCAUAUCGGAGGGCAAGAAAGGCACAUACUUAAAGAAGCUGCUGCUUACACAUGCAUUAGAUUUCCAAGAAAACGUUGGGUUAGUACAUCGAGUCCCCAAAAUGAUUGACAUUUAUCCCUGCCCCAAGUCUCAGCUCUAUGACACAUGCAUAUCUUUUGGUGGUUCUUUGGUGGACUUUUGGAUGAAGGCUGAGGUCUUAUUUUCCUUUGACAUGGGUCAGGUUGGAGACUCUUGGCUGGCUCUGGUUGGUCAUCUUAUUGUCUACAACAAGUAAACAAGUGUGAGAAAAACCCGGAGUAAAGUGUGAAUAAAAUCCGGAGUAAGGUGUAUCUAAACCCAGAGUGAAGUGUGUGUAAAUCUGGAACAAUAUGUGUAUAAAACCUGAGAAAAUGUUGAGUAAACCUGGAGUAAAGGGUGAGUAAAACUAGACAAAAGUGUGACUAGACCCAAAGUAAAGGGUGUGUAAGCCCAGAGUAAAUAGUGAGUAAAGCUGUAGUAAUUUCUGAGUAAACCCAAAGUAAAGUUGUGAGUAAAACAAAUGGUGUACAUUGUUAGGAAACACGGAGUAAAGUGUGAGUAAACCCAGAGAAAAGUAUGAGUACACCUGGACAUCAGUCUGAGUAAACCCAGAUUAAAGGGUUGGUAAAGGUAGAGUAAAGCGCGAGUAAUACCCAGAGUAAGGUGUGACUAAACCCAAAGAAAAAAGUGAGUAAACCCAGAGUUAGGAUGCGUAACCAUGAAGUAAAGAGUGAGUAAACCUGGAGUAGAGGGUGAACAAAGCUUGGAGAAAACUGUGAGGAAACAUGGAGUAAAAUAUGUGUAAAACCUUGUGUUGAAUGUGUGUAAAACCUGAUGUAAAAUGUGAGUAAAGCUAGAGAAAAGUGUGAGUAAACCCAAAGUAAAGAGUGUGUAAGCCCGGAGUAAAUAGUGCGGAAACCUGGUGUAAAUUGUGAGUAAACCCAAAGUAAACAUAUGAGUUAAACCUGGCAUACAUUGUUAGGAACCCCGGUGUAAAGUGUGAGUAAAGUGAGAGUACAGUGAGAGUAAACCGAGAGAAAACUAGAGUACACCUGGAUUGAAGUGUGAGUAAGCCCGGAGUAAAGGGUUAGUAAAGCUAGAGUAAAGUGUGAGUAAUACCCAGAGUAAGGUGUGACUAAACCCAAAGAAAAUUGUGAGAAAACCCAGAGUAAAGUGUGCGUAACCAUGAAGUAAAGAGUGAGUAAACCUGGAGUAAAGAGUGAACAAAGCUUGGAGAAAGCUGUGAGGAAACAUGGAGUAAAAUAUGUGUAAACCCUGGUGUAGAAUGUGAGCAAAACCUGAUGUAAACUGUGAGUAAAGCUAGAGAAAAGUGUGAGUAAACCCAAAGUAAAGGGUGUGUAAGCCCUGAGUAAAUAAUGAGGAAACCUGGUGCAAAUUGUGAGUAAACCCAAAGUAACCUUGAUGGUAAAACCUAAAGCAUAUUGUUAGGAACCCCGGAGUAAAUUGUGAGUAAACCCCUGAGUAAAGUGACAGUAAACCCAGAGAAAAGUGUGAGUAAACCGUUGCUACUGCAAAGCCCGUGGACCCUCGGUGCGCAGGGACACUGCUCUCCCCCCAUCCACCCAGCCUGCCAUCAUAGAAGGCUACCAGGUUGCUCAAGCACUACUACCUCUUGGUGAAAACAUAAUGACUCCUCCUCCUAUCCUUCUUCUCUCCCAAUUGCUUGGAGAUGGCAUCCACAACAGGCUGUUCCAUCACCUUCCUAGGGACAGAGCUGAGACUGACUCGCCUGGAGUUUCCCACAUCCUCCUCCUCGCCAUUUCUGAAGACUGGACUGACAUUGGCUAUCCUCCAGUCUUCGGGCACCUCUCCUAAUCUCCUAGGCCUGUCAAAGAUGAUAGAGAGUGGUUCAGCAGUCACCUCUGCCAGCUCCCUCAGCACACGUGGAUGCAUCCCAUCUGGACCCAUGGAUGUGUGCACACUGAUCCCACCCAGACACUUCUGCACCAUCCCCUCCUCAACCAGAGGGAGGCCCUGAUAUGUUAUAGAUA